rnacentral:lncRNA from 1 species
GGCAAUGGAACAUUCCUUUCCACUUUUGUGAAUGGAGAUCACUGACGAGCACUCUUGCGCAAAUCAAGAGUAAAGGUAGGAGCUAUGAAUCUGUCCCGGGUAGGAAAGGAUCCCUUUGAGUUCAUAUUGCUGCAGGAGAAAGAGAAGGGCACAGAGCUUCUAUAUACCACUGGAUUCCACCAGACUGUUCUGUGGAAAACACGACACCCUAUCCCUUCCCUGACGGGAACCUGGAUACCAUAGCAUAGGAACCUCCCCUUCCCUGACGGGAUACUAGAUACCAUAGCAUAGGAACCUCGAAAAUACGUAUUAUAGGUUGGUUGUAUACACACUCAUCCUUUGAGAAGAUAAGAGAGCCCCGCGGACAUUUCCUUCCUCGAAACCAGGAAACUGAUACUGCCUCGAUUCUGCUUCCGUCUAUCAUGUCCAAUCUUACUUUCGUGCCGAUGAAGGGCAGUCCGGAAGGUGGAGUUAGCACCGGGCCUAUUCUUAGAAGCUGAAGUAGGAGUAGGAGCACUCUUCUUCCUCAAGCGUAGCCGUAUUAGUUGGAUUCAGCAUCCUUUUCGACUGGAGAUACCCUCGCAUUACCGGCUUCCCGACAUACUGGCAAGUUUACUUGACUCACCCAUUCUUAAGACUGGCCUGGCCACUACUUUGUUUGAUUUCCUUGUCACUGUAGUAAGCAAGCGGCACCUAUUGAUCUACUUCCCUCUAGCAUCACUCAUCCUUACGGCACUAGUCCAUCCAUCCCUCGACCGAAGAGAGUCUUCCUCCUCACGGAACUAGGGUUUGAUUUCAUAGACAAGACUUUCGAGCGCGACGUUGCGCACAUCCUAUUGCUUGGUAUCUUUUCUAGUGUGCAUCACAUUCAUUUUCCUUUCCAUGAAUUUUCCUUUCAUGUAGAUAUGAUAAUCUUCGUGGCAUCAACCUCAUAUAGGAGCUGCCAGUAGUACUUUCGCGGGAUUUGAAAGCAGGCAAACCUAUGAUGCGAGUCUAGUUAGAAUAGAACCAGUGCACUCUGAAAUCCGAACCAACCAAUACGGUUCGCUUUCCUCUGCUCGUAUAGACUCCGUUCGUGUUAGGACAUCCAUAGCCAAUAGUAAUAGUAGCUAGUAGCUUCGCCCCCCUUGCCCCGGAAAGGUUCUCAUUCCUCACUGGAUCUAGUUGACUUGCUGCUACAGCAAUCAAUCUAUCUAUAUGUUCCUGACGGAAGAGAGAGUUUCCUACAUUCCCAUUCCCAUGAACUGAACAUCGGGUACCAACGAUCUGAAAUCCCGUGCUGAAACCUACAGAUAUGCACCUGUGCGGACCAACCUAGCAAUCCUCCUGUCUAUUCUUUCUAUCUGGACUAGCGCUUCCCACUGGAGCUUACUACUUGACUAGAGCACUUGAACUUGUUAGUUUCAUUAGUCAGUUUCCUAGCAUAGCAAAGUGAGUUUCCCAUCAACGGAUUAUCAUCCUCUUGUUUCC